rnacentral:misc_RNA from 1 species
ACAUUUCAUCAGCAUGAUGAUAAGGUACUGCUCAAUCAAUAGAAUCAUUUUUCAUGAUAAUAACAUUAAAAUCCCUUACCAUGGAAUCGGCAACUUCCUUGAUGACAUCCAGAUUUCGAAAUUUGUGCAAUCUAGUCCAGAUUCUUCUGUUAGUAGUUAUAUUUGUCAAGAAAAUCACAACAAGUGAUUUCUGCAUUUCAGCAUUAAUUUCAAUGUCUUUUGAUGCCUUGAUUUUAAAAGAGGUAGUGGAUGUACUAGCAUCCUCUGUCUCAUCCUCUGGAUCUGUACCAGCAUCAUCUGUCUCAUCCUCUGGAUCUCUACUAGGAUCCUCAGUCUCAUCCUCUGGAUCCUCUGGGAUCUGGGUGACCAGUGCUAAAGUCCAUGUCCUUCCCUCCCUUUGCAAAUCAGAGACGUCUUCAGGUUUGGCAUCUGCAAGAAUAACAACAUCUCCAGGCAAUGUUUUGUAAGGCUCCUUGCCACGAUCACUGUAUCUGUUUCUCCAGUAAUCAAUUUCAACAUCAUAAAGUAAUGUUUCAUCAUGUCUACACGGAGUUAGAGCAAGCACUUCAGCAGUUGGUGCCCUGUAAAUAAUUUCUAUACUUGAAUGCAAUCGUGCUCUUGUUUCUUCCAAUAAUGGACAUACAUAUGACCGAAAAUAAUGAUCAACCGAUUCAAACAAUUUGGGAAUCACUUUCACCUCGAAAAGAUUUUCAUUGUAAAUGUCCUCGAGAGACCAAGAAAACAUGGAAGCAACCAAGUCACAGUCAUCGGCAAAUCCUCCUCUCUUUUUGAUUGAAGUCUCCUCUUCCAUGAUUAUUCUCUCCUAUGGCACACUUGUCUUCUCAACUCAUAUCAAAUGAAAAAAAAAAAAAGAAGGGAAACCCAUCUCAGUUCCACCCUUGAAAAAACCCAUAUAAGAAAUGAAAUUUCUUAUGCAUCAAGGAAUUCAAAAAAUCAAUGAAGAGAGCAUCGGUUUGAUGUUCACCCUUUAAAACCCAAAUAAAAAUGUUGUUUCUUAACCAUGAAGGCACAAAGUAACUAAAGAAUUAAUGUAGUACAAGAACCUCAUCUUUCCCAAUUGACUUUGAUAGAGGCAAGAAAGAAUUUCCCAAUUGGUUUUGCAGAAUAUUUAUUUGGGUCAUCUACUGGCCCGAAUAAAGGUUGCUUCGCUUUCCAUGUCAU